rnacentral:lncRNA from 1 species
CACAGGUCCAGGUGCCUGGAGGGAGGCCUGCAGACCAGGCUCCUUGGACGCAGAGCCACGCAUCCUGGGCCCAUCCUGCCCUUGGCUGGAAGCUUUCCCGGACCAGAACGCAACGUGGAGCUUUGCCAAGACCUCACCAGCGAGCCCUGGGGUGCCGGCCUGGAGCAGGAAGGCAGGGCUGAGCUAUCAGAUGGCAGAUCCUGCGCCAGCAUCCUCAGCCAGUUCCCAGGGAGAAGCUUUCACAGCAGGAUUGAGCACCAGUGGAUGCUGCUGUGGCUCCUGGAAGCUGCAGGUUGUCACCCGCUGUCCUGUCAUCAAGGUGGACCUGAAGCAACAGUUUGUCCUGGAGUCGAAGAAAGCCCAAGGGUCCUCAGUCCCACCCACACUGUAAAGUUCUGGAGGCCAGAAGUCUGAAGUCAGUUUCACCGGGCCCAAAUCAAGGACCACAUUCCCUCCGGAGGUGCUAGGGGAGAAUCCACUUCCUUUCCUUUU